rnacentral:rRNA from 1 species
GAUGAACGCUAGCGGCAGGCCUAAUACAUGCAAGUCGAACGGAUAUAUGUUUUUCGGAAUAUAUAUUAGUGGCGCACGGGUGAGUAACACGUACAUAACUUGCCCUCAAGCGGGGGAUAGCCUUGGGAAACUGAGAGUAAUACCCCAUAGAAUUAUUGGACGGCAUCGUUUGAUAAUUAAAACUACGGUGUUUGGGGAUAGAUGUGCGUCUGAUUAGCUAGUUGGUGAGGUAACUGCUCACCAAGGCGACGAUCAGUAGGGGGCGUGAGAGCGUGGCCCCCCACACGGGUACUGAGACACGGACCCGACUCCUACGGGAGGCAGCAGUAAGGAAUAUUGGUCAAUGGAGGGAACUCUGAACCAGCCAUGCCGCGUGAAGGAUGACGGCCCUCUGGGUUGUAAACUUCUUUUGGAUGGGGCGAAAAAACGGGNUUUAUCCUGGACUGACGGUACCAUCAGAAUAAGCACCGGCUAACUCCGUGCUAGCAGCCGCGGU